GACGAACGCUGGCGGCGUGCUUAACACAUGCAAGUCGAACGGAAAGGCCCCUUUGGGGGUACUCGAGUGGCGAACGGGUGAGUAACACGUGAGUAACCUGCCCUUGACUUCGGGAUAACUUCAGGAAACUGGGGCUAAUACCGGAUAGGAAUCCUUGCUGCAUGGUGGGGGUUGGAAAGCUUCGGCGGUUUUGGAUGGACUCGCGGCUUAUCAGCUUGUUGGUGGGGUAGUGGCUUACCAAGGCUUUGACGGGUAGCCGGCCUGAGAGGGCGACCGGCCACAUUGGGACUGAGGUACGGCCCAGACUCCUACGGGAGGCAGCAGUGGGGAAUAUUGCACAAUGGGCGGAAGCCUGAUGCAGCAACGCCGCGUGCGGGAUGACGGCCUUCGGGUUGUAAACCGCUUUCAGCAGGGGCGAAGCUUGUGGUGACGGUACCUGCAGAAGAAGCACCGGCUAACUACGUG
rnacentral:rRNA from 1 species